UACGUAGGGGGCUAGCGUUGUCCGGAAUCAUUGGGCGUAAAGCGCGUGUAGGCGGUCCGGUAAGUCCGCUGUGAAAGUCGGGGGCUCAACCCUCGAAUGCCGGUGGAUACUGUCGGGCUAGAGUGCGGAAGAGGCGAGUGGAAUUCCUGGUGUAGCGGUGAAAUGCGCAGAUAUCAGGAGGAACACCAAUUGCGAAGGCAGCUCGCUGGGACGUUACUGACACUGAGGCGCGAAAGCGUGGGGAGCGAACAGG
rnacentral:rRNA from 1 species